UAUAAAAGAAUAUUAUUUUGUGUAUAAUAUCUGCUAUUGUAUCUCUGCCCAUAUUUCUUAUAUGGUAUCAGAGCCUCUUUUAUGCUUGGGCGUAUGAACAAAAUUAGCAUUUAGAGAUAUCCAAUUAGAGUUUGAAUUGCAGAUUGCAUGCUGGCGAUGGACUCUCACCAGGAUGGCACGUGAUUGUUGCGGAUGGGAAGAACUUAUUUGGAUUUUUUCAGCUAAAUGAUUUUACAAGUUCCAUUGCUAUUAGUGGCAUGUGAUAUUGCUGGUAGUUUUAACGACAUUGCUGAAGGCUACUAAUCAGAUGCAUGCAGCAAAAGAAAUAGAUCACGUGAUGCUAUAUGUAUUUCUGAUAAUAGAAGAACAUACUCUAUAUCGUGGUCUUCCAUUUGAUUGCUGUGCAUGGAAGAGCGAUUGAGAUUAAAGGGAAAUCACUUUUGUGAGCAGCAUAUCCUAUGCAAGCGUAAGAGAGAAGCACGGGGAUCAUCGACUUGAUGGAGGAUAUGAGCUGUCACACAUUGAGGGUAGAGGGCUAGAGAUGAGCCCGUGAGCACUGCACACAUACUCCAGUUCAAUAAAGACUUUAAUGCAAAAUUGGACGUGUAGAGGAAAGGUUGUAAUAGAUGUCGCUGGAGGUGAUGAUUACUAGAUUUGGUCGAAAGAGGCACGUUGUGGGAGAUAUUCAGGAGUAAAGGGUUGUUAAGGCGUGAGAAGGAUUACGUUGUGUUUUUAAUUGAAUUCUCUUGUCAGCCUGCAGAACAAUCUGUCUUUAGCAUCGUCUACAAGCUUAAUGAGGUUACCAAGGUUUGGAAAGAAUAUGCCUCGGGUUAUAGAUUUUUCAUUUGGUCACAUAAAAGAUCCCCAAUAUACUUGUUGCAUUUUAAGUGUCCUUAGUUGCCUUCAUGGGUACCUAAUUAAUUUUUUUUUUUUUUUCUGUAUAGUUAGAUAUAUUGUGUUAAUUUAAAAUGUCAAAAAAAACAAAACAAACAUUGCCUUGAUUGUAAUUGUACGUACUAUCGCUUGUAUGCGAUGUCCAUUUUGUGGGGGGCAUUCUACAAAUUGUUUUCAAUGCCAAAUUUGCUAAGUAGCAAACUGUUUGGAGGUAGGAGGCAAUGGAGGAAGGAGGACAAUCAUCGUUCUCUUGUCAGUCACCAACGACGAGGCCGCUUAUCAGUUUUGGUGGUGUUUUGUUUUCUAUUGUGUGGCUAUUCCUAUUCAUGUGCAUGUCAUUUCCUUCUGUAACCUCCUAGUGUAAAAUGUUGAGCAAAAACACUAGUGUAAUGCAGUUCAUGGAUCUUGAAAUGGUUAAUGGUAAUCCAGAAAACCACAUGAGUUGAAUAGACGAGCGAGUUCCUGUUCUUGUAUGGGUUUAUGGUAAGCCUGUGUGAAAAACCAUGAAAGGUUGAUGGGAGGUGCCUUUCUUUUGAAUCAAGAUCAUGAGCCACAAGAGUUGGCUUAUUGCAGUUGGAAGUGUUAAGGAGGAGAAUAUGGACAUCAUCAAUAUUGUAAACAGCUGUAUUGGAGAGCAACUGACUACAGAGAUCCUCUGACUGUUGGACUUCUUGGAAGUGUGAUCAGCCAGUGAUAAGUUCACUGGAAGUGAAAGCGAGAUAAGUUCUCAUAUGUAGGUGAUCAUGUGCAGCAACAUCCAGAUAGCAACAUGCAGACCUAAAAGUAUGCACAGGCAUACGAUUUUGUUUCCAACUUGUGUGAUGUUCUUUCUCUCCAUGUUCACACUAAGGGGGGGUGUUAGAGAUUAGUGUUCAUGUGGAUUAGGAAUAUUACAUUAUUAGUAUGUUUGUUAUGAUUUAAUGUGUGUGAGUAGAUAAGGGAAGUUGGUUAAGUGUUUGUUCAAGUUGUAAGAACAACUCGUAUGAUUAGGUUGUUACAAGAAAUUACCUAUAAAACAGGAUGAUAAAGUCCUAUAUAGUUAUGCAAUCUAAAUCAUUGUGUGCGUGGAAUAAAAGAAUAUUAUUUUGUGUAUAA